ACUGGUGUUCGGGUUGUCAUGCCAAUGGCACUGCCCGGUAGCUAAAUGCGGAAGAGAUAAGUGCUGAAAGCAUCUAAGCACGAAACUUGCCCCGAGAUGAGUUCUCCCUGAGACUAUAAGUCUCCUGUAGGAACGUUAAAGACGAUGACGUUGAUAGGCCGGGUGUGUAAGCGCAGCGAUGCGUUGAGCUAACCGGUACUAAUGAACCGUGAGGCUUAACCUU
rnacentral:rRNA from 1 species